rnacentral:lncRNA from 1 species
CAUCUGUGACAAUCUUCCUCCACUUUAUAUGUGGGACGCCUGCCACAGCAUGGCUUGUCACAUACUGCCAUGUCCGCACCCGGGAUCUGAACCCGCGAACCCUGGGCCACCAAAGCGGAACGUGCGAACUUAACUGCUGCACCACUGGGCUGGCCCCUAUUCCUUCUUUUUAAAACAGUAAUGUGACCAUAGUACAAAAAGUAUAUAAAAUAGAGAAAAGAAAAAAAUCACCGUGAAUAAUACAGCCAUCAUUGAUGUCACCACGACUAGUAUUUCAGUAUAAUUUCUUCUCAUCUUUUCUCUACAGUUGGAUGGUUGAUAAGUCACACUCAUAAUGUACGGGCAAUUUUAUACAUAUUUCCAUGUUUAUAACUCAAUUAUAAGCAUUCCUCCAUAUUGUCACAUAGAUUUUAAGCUUUGAUUGAGAGGAAGAUGGACGUUCUUCUAAUUUGACUUGUCUGUUUCCCACAAAACAUUUUACUUGCCCUUAAGCACCGGCCCUGCCUCACACACAGGUGGGAGAGCGAGACCCCCAAACCCACCCACCAGGUGGACUUCAGGCUCUUUUGAGUUUCAGGCUGACUCAGCUUUUGGAGGGAAAUAUUCACCCUUUGGGUUCCCCUUCCACUUCUCUGAGCGAGACCGUGCUCAGCAUGGGUCUGUGGCUGGUUGAGGAGGCCUGGGUCUGGCAGGGUGGGUGCUGGGGUCCCUCCAUGGUGAGGUCUCCUGCCCUGAAACCUGGCUUCUCUGAUUCUCCCACCUCCUCUGCUCGAUCUCCGUGGGAACCCCAGAAUCUCCAGAUGCUGCGGAGUCUGUGUCCACAUUCCUGAGUGCUCACUUAGGAACCUGCUCGGACCCCUCUGGCUGGGCUGGGGGGCCAGGCCAGCGAGGAGACCCCACUCUGCUCAGUCAGGUGGGUGCCCCACAUCCUCUGGACUCUCCGUCGUCCCUGACUUAAGCGUCCAACCUGGGAGUUGGAAAGAAAGACAAUGGCUUUGAACUUCUGCCUUUUCUUUAUUUAAAACUGUCUUCUUCUGGGUCUCAGAGGCCUCCCCUCCUUUCCUCCCCAGAGGCAGUGCAGCUCCUUUGUCACAGCCUCAGUCCCUUCUACCCAGCACCUUGCAUAAACUCUUCCAGGCUGGGCUUCUUAGUAUGUUGAGAAGAGUACAGGAUUGAGAAAAUGAACGUAUGCAUAUAUACAUGUGUGUGUGCAUACAUACACGCAUGUGCUUGUUCACAGGACAUAUUUAUUUAUCCUCUCACAAUCAUAGCUUUUAAAAAUAUUGUCUCAGCAGAGAUGCAAAUAUCUCAUUCUGUCAGAAUCUGAAUAAUGCCUCUUCCUUUAGUUUGCAUUUUAUUUUGACAAUUCUCAUCUUCCUUGUGGCAAAUGACGAUUGCUGGCUGCCUAGGGGAAAGGCCACGUAUACAGUGCAGAAAAGUGAAAGAAAAAAGCACACUAGUUUAAUUAUGCUCUUAAAUGAUCUCUGUUGCACCAAGAUUUGCCUUAAUUCUUCUUGUUUCCUAGAAAUUUGUUGGGAAUGGAAUCCAAGGGGCCUGUAGAAAAGAGCUGAGUCUCCAGGGUGAGCUCCGUGGGGCCUAGGGACAUGGUCAGGAGUGGUCUUCCUGGUUUCCCUACAAACGGAGAGGGUGUCAGAACGCCCUGCAGGGCUGUUUGUCCUCUGUGCGCAGACGUGCCUUAACGGAGACCAACAUCUCUACCUUCAGCAAUAAAAACCGGCCGCGUUCCUCCUGUGAAGCACGAGGGGCACAGGUGAGAUGAAGUCUGGGACACACUUCAGAAAGGGACGCUGGGUGUUGUUCAUCUUCUGGGCUCGUCCAUGGAGCCCCGUUCCUAGGCCCCUACACUUCGGGGGCUGUUCUGAGGAGGGUGGGAAGCCCGUGUGUCCGAGAGAAGUCACGUCGGAGUGUCUGCAAAUGCUAAAGGAGUGUAUAGAUGUCAGUCAUUGUUACAGAGGGCUCCUUUCCAGACAAUUCUUCCUCAUAUAAUGUAAAUUGCUUUUCUCUGUCAACCCAGUAAGUCCUGAAAUUGUGUGAGAUACAAUAUAAGCGUUGUUUCCCUUCAUCGAGGCCCAGCUUUGAAGCCCGGAGCGCGCGCGCCUCUUUCUUCCUCCCCAGCCCCGCGCUCUGACCUGAGGGUGGGCUUCAGGCUCACUUUUUCUGAUGAAGAUCGAAAAAAGAAAAACCAGUGACCUCUCCAGAAACGGAAGAGGGUAGAAAUCAGGAAACUACAGUCCCACUGCCGGCCCGACCUGACUUAUUGUUCGCGUGCCACCAUUUCCAUGCCUGGCGUUCAGGGAAAACGCUCGCAACAGCCCCGGCCUCCAGCCUCCACUGCGGACGGCGCCCUGUUCGACGCGGCACGUGCGUCUCACCGCUUUCCCGCCGCGAGGGCCGCGCGGGGUCGCCUCUCCGGUCCUCGCGCGGACCGUCGUGCGCACCCAGCGCCUGCGCGUCCUGGUGUGCGUGUGGCUGGGCCCCGAGCCUUCGUGCGCGCCCCCUCGUCAGCGGAUCACAGCGCGGGGCCUGGCGCGUGCCCGCCUGUGUGACGCUCUUGCCCUGAAGCGCCAAGUGCCUUUCACAGACUUCUGCCUUCCGUUCCACGAUUCUAACCCGGAGACGGCCGACGGGCGUCGUCAAAGCCUCUUCCCGAGGAGGGCUCCGCGCCCACGAAGGGGGCCUCAGCCGGCUGGGAAGGGCCUGCGGGGCGGGGGGCCUGACUCCAGGGCCCUCCUGCCGUGUCGCAGCCUCUCGGCCGAGAAACCGUGCUGCUGCGGGAGCCGCGGGUGUGUCCGUCCUUGUCCGCCCCUGCCUCGUCUCCGGCCCUGCAGCGUCCUUCAUCUGCCCCCGCUCCUUCACGUGCAGGGCUCCAGUCCGGCCCGACAAGCCCUGCAAGGCCCGCCUUCCUCAGCGUUCCCUCUGAAGAUGCCGUUACUCCGCUCCUGUCAGCCCUGACCAGACUUUUCCAAAGACCUCUUAAAUGUCCUGCCUGCGACCUGAGUCUCGAGUGUAUCUGAUGCGAUAGACAAAGUGUAUUUCUCCUACUUACGAGGGUAUCGUCCCCUUCUCAAAAGCAGCACCGGCUUCCCAUGAAUCGACCUGGCCUUCAACAUCCUUCUCAGGGCUUUAGCUGCCUUGGAACUGAUGACCCCUCCCUUCCCUUUGACCACCCUGCACCCCGAUUCAAUAGAGCUGUUCACGUACCUCUCCUGCACUUUCCCUUUGUGGCGAGUUCUCUCUGUUCUUCGAAGUCCAGGUCGUUUGUUUCUUCCAUGAAGCCUCCACCGAGCCUUCUCAGUUGCAUCAUCGUCAGUUGUGCACCACUCUCCUUCACAUCAAGUCCAACUCUGCACCCAGCACAGUGCCCAGCUCAGAGCCCGAGCUCCACAGCAUGAACUGAAGGACCUGCUUCUCCUGCAUUGAUUGUCUUACUAUUUUGGGAGCAGUGUAGUCUAUACUUAAUUAGUCUAUGCUGCUGCAUUUUAGAUGUCCAGCUUCAAAGCUACGGGUACUAGGUCAAUCGCUUUAUGUCAUGGUUGUGCAGUUACAGCUUGGCAACCUCUCAGCGAGCAACACAACAUCUAACACCAACAGCAGAGCCCCACAGAUGCUGGGCUGCCAUGGAGACAGAGCAUUCUCUGAUCCUCUCUGUUAAGAUUGCCUCAGGGUUGCUGGGUAUAGAAAUCAGUGUUUUAGUUAACAGUGCAUCUCAACCCUCCAACGGGAGAAAAUCCUAUUUUCAGUGCCACGUGUGUCUGCAGCCUCGAUUAUUUUCACUUCCAAAAUCAGUUGUGUUGCCACCACAUUAAAUCUGCUGUGAAAUAACAGUAUCUGCCAACAUGUGGGCUUUUGGCUAAUUAUUUUCUUUUUAUAAAAGAAUUGUGCUUUAAUUGAUACAUUUUCUUUUCCUGAAGCCAUUAAUGAUGUGUUAUUCUGGCCUGGUUAUAGGGUGGUUCUGCAAAUAGUGUCCUUCUGGAAUGAUAAUAAAUGGCAUUUGGAAAGUGUUAAUACCAAUGUCUUCGUUGUCCUAAGGGAGACAUAACUAAUUAAAAAAGAGAAUGAACACCCUUGUGGAGUCACAUGGGUUUAAAGCUGGAUGGUGUGAGUAAGGAACUAUGGAAAAUUAAAACGGAGAUGUUGAGUUCCUGCUUUAAUAGAGUCGUUCUUUUGAAGACCUUGGGUCAAUUGGGAUGACAGAGAUUUUUAUCCUCUUACUACUAAAAAGUUUCCUCUUUCCAGUGAAGAUCUACAAGGAAAAUACGUCCUUAAAUGGGCAAGUUUGUAUGGAUGGAAUAUGUGCACCUGCACCCACCGCCCCAAAUUUAAGAGGUCCCGUGAGCACAGAGGGAUGCGGCCUCUAGAUGAAACCUACCUCACCACCCCUGGAUCUUGGAUUUCUGACCUCAGGAACUAAGAAAAAUAAAUCCAGGAGUUGAUGCUGCCUAGUCCAUGGCAUCUUGUCAUGGGAGCCCACCUGGACUGGGAUGAACACUUUGGGAAGUUUGUCAUUAAAAUUCUGAAUGGAAAGAGUAACAAAAAUUAAAAAGAUCUCUAUGAUAUGACAUGCAUGUUACUCAUCCAACUUAACAAAACAUGUGCAGAUAUAGUAUUGAAACUCUAUUAUCGCGAUUCGUUCAU